GGGGUUGUGGCUCAGAGGUAGAGCACUUGCCUACCAUGCAUGAGGUACUCACUGGGUUCGAUCUUCAGCACCA
rnacentral:tRNA from 1 species